AAUUACCAGAUUUGGAAUCACAUAUUUUUCAUAAGGUAGCACGUGUAGUGAAAAGGCCUGAGAGUCCUUAAGUCCUAAAUCCUGACACAAGGGAUGAAGGGGUCGCGGAGUUGCCAGAUUCUCGUGACCAGUGAACCUAUGGAAAUCUGCUUUGAACUCCCGUCUACUAUUCAUUCAAGAGGCACCAACAGCCAUGAUGACAAAAGAUGACAGACUUCUACUGGGAGGCUCAGGAGACAGGAAGCACCUGCUUGUGCUGGGGAUGGACCGGCAGAGAGGGGAAGGAGUGACAGGAGACAGGUAAUGUAUUCCAUAUUCCACAACAGUAAUUAAACAGGUCAUAUUUGAAACAAAACAUCAAGAAAUAGAAAUAUGAAUAGGUUACAUAAAAAAAAAGUAAUACUAGACGAUACAGAUAAAAGUAGCAAAGAUAAGUAAAGAUAGCUUCUGGAAAGAAAGAAUUGGAAGUAGGUUGACAUAGCUCAGGGUGAGGCUUUCUUUAUUACAUGCUUUGUUGUUGUUUUUUAUUUUAUAUUUCCCUGUAUUACCUUGAUCAAUAAUAAAUUAAAAGGAUAUCUAGAUGGGGAAAAAAGUACAUCAAUAUAAUAUGAACUAUUUGCCGAAUGCCAAACUAGUUUUAUUUUACUGGUGAAAUUAUAAAGCUAUUUCCAUUAUAAUUAGAAACAGUAAUCAUUCACUAUUAUGUAACGAUUCAAAAAAAUACAUUAAAAAUGAAAAAAAACCCUGUAAUAAAACAGAAGAGAUAAAAUUCUUUUUGCUGAUGGUUUGAAUGUGAUGUCUGAAAAACCCAACAGAGUAUAGCAAAAACCUUUUUGAAUUAAAAAAAUGAUGAGGUUUCUUGAUAAAAGAUAAAUAAAAAUAAGUAACUUUU